AAUAGAUACCCAGGUAGUCCACGCCGUAAACGAUGUCGACUUGGAGGUUGUGCCCUUGAGGCGUGGCUUCCGGAGCUAACGCGCUAAGUCGACCGCCUGGGGAGUACGGCCGCAAGGUUAAAACUCAAAUGAAUUGACGGGGGCCCGCACAAGCGGUGGAGCAUGUGGUUUAAUUCGAUGCAACGCGAAGAACCUUACCUACUCUUGACAUCCAGAGAACUUAGCAGAGAUGCUUUGGUGCCUUCGGGAACUCUGAGACAGGUGCUGCAUGGCUGUCGUCAGCUCGUGUUGUGAAAUGUUGGGUUAAGUCCCGCAACGAGCGCAACCCUUAUCCUUUGUUGCCAGCGGUUAGGCCGGGAACUCAAAGGAGACUGCCAGUGAUAAACUGGAGGAAGGUGGGGAUGACGUCAAGUCAUCAUGGCCCUUACGAGUAGGGCUACACACGUGCUACAAUGGCAUAUACAAAGAGAAGCGACCUCGCGAGAGCAAGCGGACCUCAUAAAGUAUGUCGUAGUCCGGAUUGG
rnacentral:rRNA from 1 species